rnacentral:rRNA from 1 species
GACGAACGCUGGCGGCGUGCCUAAUACAUGCAAGUAGAACGCUGAAGGAGGAGCUUGCUUCUCUGGAUGAGUUGCGAACGGGAGAGUAACGCGUAGGUAACCUGCCUUGUAGCGGGGGAUAACUAUUGGAAACGAUAGCUAAUACCGCAUAACAGUAUAUAUGGCAUGCUAUCUACUUGAAAGGUGCAAUUGUAUCACUAGCAGAUGGACCUCCCUCGUAUUAGCUAGUUGGUGGGGUAACGGCUGACUAAGGCGACGAUACAUAGCCGGCCGGAGAGGGGGAGCGGACAGACUGGGAGUGAGACAGGCCCCAGACUGCUACGGAAGGGAGCAGGAGGGAGUCUUCGGCGAUGGACGGGAGUCUGACCGAGCAAGGCCGCGUGAGUGAAGAAGGGUUGCGGAUCGUAAAGCUCUGUUGUAAGAGAAGAACGAGUGUGAGAGUGGAAAGUUCACGCUGUGACGGUAGCUUACCAGAAAGGGACGGCUAACUACGUG